UACGGAGGAUCCAAGCGUUAUCCGGAUUUAUUGGGUUUAAAGGGUGCGUAGGCGGCUUAUUAAGUCAGGGGUGAAAGGCGGUAGCUUAACUAUCGGAGUGCCUUUGAUACUGAUGAGCUUGAAUACAGUUGAGGUAGGCGGAAUGUGACAAGUAGCGGUGAAAUGCAUAGAUAUGUCACAGAACACCGAUUGCGAAGGCAGCUUACUAAAGUGUAAUUGACGCUGAGGCACGAAAGCGUGGGGAUCAAACAGG
rnacentral:rRNA from 3 species